rnacentral:lncRNA from 10 species
CGAGACAAGCCUGCCAGCAGCGGAUAUAAGGUGAUCUGAAAUACAUGAAGAUGUCAAAACUUGAAAAAGCCGAGUGAAAGGCAUAGCGUUUAUAUUUGUUUCUACAAACCUCUUUGCAUGCUUCGUAAUAAAAAAGCAAAGCCAAAAUUCAGAGCGACAACCAAUGUGCCACAUGCCCUUUGCAGUGGGCUGGCUUCCCUGGUUACAGCAACCCUCUCAUCUCUGCAGAGAAUGGAAACCAGAGUGGUCAUGGCCUUGGAGCUGAAUCUUGUGACUUUCACCUUCUUCCCACAUUUGUCCAAACCUCUUGUCCCUGCUCUUCAGGUCCUUGUGUGAUGUGACCCAGCUGACACCCUAGCCCCAGAUGACUGCCCCUGAAUUAGUCUCAGCUUCUCCAACCUGUUCCCUUAUCCUCUAUUCUUGCAUGUGCUGAUACCGUAUUGAGAACGUUCUUUAAUGUUAUUUAUCUCCUCUGGAAUAAUUCUGACUCCCUCCUCAAGCAUCACCUCCUCCAGGAAGCCCUCUCGGAUCCUCCAGGCUCAGCCAGUGUCUCCAGUGGUCCUCACAGUCUCCUGUACUUCCCAAGCUCAUCAUAUUGUCUUCAAAUUCCGUGGUUACAUGUUCCCCACUCGCCUGAGAAACAGGCCUCCCUUCCUUGUCCUGGGCCAGGGAUAGAUGUGGAGGUCUGCUGCCUCCUUCUAGGACCUCUCUUCCGCUCUCAGUUACCCCGCAGCGAGGUCUGGGCACAGGACAUUGAUGGGCAGCCUUCUGGCUUCCUCACUAAGCUGGACAGCUCCGCCCUGGCUCGCCAAGGCAGCUUCAGCCACAGGUGUAUCCAGCAGAGCCUCUAUCUCCUCCAUAAGGUCUGAUGAAACACUGCCAUCUAAAUCCUUUCCCCAGAACACAUUCCUAUGGUUGCCCUGGACAGAGAUUGUGCAAUCCUUGCAGUUUUUCUGAUUUCCUCCCUUUGAGCACCUGUCCCUAAAAGCCUCAGAAUGAAGAGGGCGUGCCCUCCAAAAAGUUCCUGCCCUACGGUUAAGCCUGCUGCUAAGUCAGCUUUCAGCGCUCCGUUUCUGAUGAUGAAAGCAAGAUGAGUCAGAUGGUUUGGGAACAAGGGAACUUCUAGAAAGAAGAGUCUAGGAAGCUAAGUUUUGUUAACCCUUCAGCGUCUCCUAAGCACUGCUAACUUUUAAUGUUUAACCCUUCCUCCUCCCUCUGUACCAUAGACAUCCAUUCUGAUGUGUUUGAUACAUGCCCUUACAUUAGUUUUUUAAGGAAAAUAUGCUUACAUUUGCCUUUCUUAUUGCUAUAAAUUUAUGGGGUACAGGUGUAAUUUUGUUGCAUGCAUAGAUUUCAUAGUAGUGAAGUCAUAUCCUUAAUAUUUAUACAUACUUGGA